rnacentral:rRNA from 1 species
GAUGAACGCUGACAGAAUGCUUAACACAUGCAAGUCGACUUGAACUUCGGUUUGGGUGGCGGACGGGUGAGUAACGCGUAAAGAACUUGCCUCACAGCUAGGGACAACAUUUGGAAACGAAUGCUAAUACCUGAUAUUAUGAUUUUAGGGCAUCCUAGAAUUAUGAAGGCUAUAUGCGCUGUGAGAGAGCUUUGCGUCCCAUUAGCUAGUUGGAGAGGUAACGGCUCACCAAGGCGAUGAUGGGUAGCCGGCCUGAGAGGGUGAACGGCCACAAGGGGACUGAGACACGGCCCUUACUCCUACGGGAGGCAGCAGUGGGGAAUAUUGGACAAUGGACCAAGAGUCUGAUCCAGCAAUUCUGUGUGCACGAUGAAGUUUUUCGGAAUGUAAAGUGCUUUCAGUUGGGAAGAAAAAAAUGACGGUACCAACAGAAGAAGUGACGGCUAAAUACGUG